GGGGUUGUGGCUCAGUGGUAGAGCACUUGCCUCACAUGUGUGCAGCCCUGGGUUCAAUUCUCAGCACCA
rfam:Ictidomys tridecemlineatus contig099824, whole genome shotgun sequence.